rnacentral:other from 1 species
GCGGGGCUACCCGGCACGAACUGAUGAGAACAUCCCUGAGGCGAUUCACUAUCUAAGGGAGCUGUCCCUGUCCGGUCCACUUUUUCGCAUUGGGGAUCGGUGCAUAUGGCCCCCACCUGGCGUUUUUGGCGUCAGAGGAUAUUCCGGGAAACGACCAUGGUGGUUCCGCC